rnacentral:rRNA from 1 species
GUGGGGAAUAUUGGGCAAUGGGCGAAAGCCUGACCCAGCAACGCCGCGUGAGGGAAGAAGGUCUUCGGAUUGUAAACCUCUGUCCUUGGAGACGAAGGAAGUGACGGUAACCAAGGAGGAAGCCCCGGCUAACUACGUGCCAGCAGCCGCGGUAAUACGUAGGGGGCGAGCGUUGUCCGGAAUUACUGGGCGUAAAGGGUGCGUAGGCGGCAAUUUAAGUUGGAUGUGAAAUACCCGGGCUUAACCUGGGGGGUGCAUUCAAAACUGGAUAGCUAGAGUACAGGAGAGGGAAGCGGAAUUCCUAGUGUAGCGGUGAAAUGCGUAGAUAUUAGGAGGAACACCGGUGGCGAAGGCGGCUUUCUGGACUGAAACUGACGCUGAGGCACGAAAGCGUGGGGAGCAAACAGGA